CUUAUGUAGAAAAAACGGGUUCCCGGGAACCCAGUCGGUUUUUAAUUUUUAGUGUAAAUAUAUAUAAGAAACUGAAAAGGAACCCAUAAGUAAAUUAUAAAGGGAACCUAUAAACAAAACAAGCCUUGGUUCCAUUGGUAAGUCCACCCUUUUCUUCCUGAUUUACCCAAGUUCGAAUCCCGUUUCAACUGUUUUUGUUUCGUUUUUUUUUCUCUUUUAAACUUUUUUUCUUUAAUGUAAUAAAACCCUUUUAGGGUUAUGUUACAUACGCCGCAAGCCACAUAACGAACAACCCUUUUACUGUAAAUCUUUUUUCUCUUCUGAGCUUUUCUUCCUGAUUGUUGCCGUCUGCUGCCGCUCUGCCACUGUGCUCGGCUGCUCCGCCGCUCCGCCACCAGCCCACCGCCGAGUUUUUCUUAUACGAAUCAGCGAACAUCGAUUAAGGCAUUAUCAGUUAUGCAGAAGAAUAUUUCAAGUUUUUUUCAAAGGCAACCACCACCUAACAUUGAAUCGUCAUCUACAACACGGUUCUCGACAUGCAAAUUCAAGAGCUUGGAAACCGUUUUAACGAGGUAACCACUAACUUGCUUACGUGUAUGAGUUCUUUGAGCCCGCGUGAUAAUUUUAGUUCCUUUAAUAAACUAAAUUUGCUAAAGUUUGCCGAAAUGUAUCCGUAUGAUUUUACUUUUGAUGAAAAAGAUAAGCUUAUCGAUGAACUCGGCCACUACAUUUCUAAUAUGAAAAAAGAUAGUCGGUUUGAUAACCUGAGUGGGGUUAGUGAUCUUGCCAAAAGGAUGGUGGAAACAAGGAAACACAUUGAGUAUCAGUUGGUCUAUCGUUUAAUAAAGUUGUCACUAGUUUUACCGGUUGCAACGGCUAGUGUUGAAAGGAGUUUUUCUUCAAUGAAGCUUGUGAAGACAGAAUUACGUAAUAGGAUGGGUGAUGGAUACAUGAACGAUUCUUGCAUUUGUUACAUUGAAAAGGAGUUCUUACAAAAAGUUUCCGUUGAGAGUGUAAUGCAACGUUUUCAAAAGAUGAAAACUCGUAUGAAAACUCGUCGUCAACAACUUUAGGUAGUUUUUUUUAUUUGUAAAGACUAUCGUAUUUUAUAUUAUGUGAUUUUAAAUUUCUAAUGACGAUUUUCUUUUCAUCAUUGUAUCUUACUUUUAUUAUGUGGUGAACCUUACCCGAUCCGAACUAUCGAACCGACCCGAAAUUCUUUACGUUCAAUCACAUGAAAUUGAAGUAUCUAAAAAAGUGAACCCGGUCAAAAAUAUUCCUGGAUCCGCCACUGACGCAAUUAAGAGAAAAAGGAGUACCGAUACCAUCGGAUUUAUGCGGAGUAUGUGGCUGUGACCAAGAAACACCGGACCACGUUCUUGUGAAUUGUAGAGAGGCUAAAGGAGUAUGGGAACAAAUCGGCUUAUGGGUCAAGGCACCAACAAUUAUUCAGCAGGAGACUUUAGGAGAGUUAUUCAAUGCAAUUGAGGAACAAAGAUGGCCGAAGAAAAGAAAAAAGGUUGUACAUGCUAUUUUCUUGUUGACAACUUGGACCGUCUGGAAAAAACGGAACGAAAAAGUAUUCCAAGAAAGGAAUGGUGAAGUGUUUAAAAUGAUAGAAGAAAUAAAAGAAGAAUCGUAUCAAUGGAUGAAGCAUAAAUCGAAGGUGCAAUUGACUUCUUGGGAGAGUUGGUUGUUUUUCUCUUGGUGUAGUUAAGUUGAGGUCUUAUGUAUUAGUGACCGUAUGUGACUUAGGUGUAAUUGAUCAUUUAAUGUUGUGUCUAGGUUCAAUGUAUGAGAGCCUAAGACUUGGUUUAGAUAGAUCCAUAAUUAUAGGAUAGUUAGCUCUUGUAAUCUGCAUAUAACAGAAACUUUGUAUCGCUGGAUGUACGCAGAAUCAUUAAUCGAAUAUCAUGAUUAUUAGCAUGGUAUCAGAGCUAAUAAUCAUCUUCCUUUUUUAUUGAUUUCAA